UACAGAGGAGCCAAGCGUUGUCCGGAUUGACUGGGCGUAAAGCGCACGCAGGCGGAUGCGCGCGUGGGGUGUGAAAUCUGGCCGCUUAACGGCCAGGCGCCAUCCCAUACGGCGCGUCUGGAGUGAUGCAGAGGUCGGUGGAAUUGCCGGUGUAGUGGUGAAAUGCGUAGAUAUCAUCUGGAACGCCAAUGGUGCAGACAGGCUGCUGGGGAUGUACUGACGCUGAGGCACGAAAGCCAGGGGAGCAAACGGG
rnacentral:rRNA from 1 species